rnacentral:rRNA from 1 species
UACAGAGGUCUCAAGCGUUGUUCGGAUUCAUUGGGCGUAAAGGGUGCGUAGGCGGCGCGGUAAGUCGGGUGUGAAAUCUCGGAGCUUAACUCCGAAGCUGCAUUCGAUACUGCCGUGCUUGAGGACUGGAGAGGAGACUGGAAUUUACGGUGUAGCGGUGAAGUGCGUAGAUAUCGUAAGGAAGACCAGUGGCGAAGGCGGGUCUCUGGACAGUUCCUGACGCUGAGGCACGAAGGUCAGGGGAGCAAACGGG